rnacentral:rRNA from 1 species
GGGAACAUACCCUUUUCUACGGAAUAGCUCUGGGAAACUGGAAUUAAUACCGUAUACGCCCUACGGGGGAAAGAUUUAUCGGGGAAGGAUUGGCCCGCGUUGGAUUAGCCAGUUGGUGGGGUAAAGGCCUACCAAGGCGACGAUCCAUAGCUGGUCUGAGAGGAUGAUCAGCCACAUUGGGACUGAGACACGGCCCAAACUCCUACGGGAGGCAGCAGUGGGGAAUAUUGGACAAUGGGCGCAAGCCUGAUCCAGCCAUGCCGCGUGAGUGAUGAAGGCCUUAGGGUUGUAAAGCUCUUUCACCGAUGAAGAUAAUGACGGUAGUCGGAGAAGAAGCCCCGGCUAACUUCGUGCCAGCAGCCGCGGUAAUACGAAGGGGGCUAGCGUUGUUCGGAAUUACUGGGCGUAAAGCGCACGUAGGCGGAUAUUUAAGUCAGGGGUGAAAUCCCAGAGCUCAACUCUGGAACUGCCUUUGAUACUGGGUAUCUUGAGUAUGGAAGAGGUAAGUGGAAUUGCGAGU